GUAAUAAGAGAGAGAAAGAGAGAUCGCUGUGACGAGCAAUGCAAGAUACGUUCGAUCGAACGAGGAUGGAUCAAGAAUGGAUCGAGGAGGGAUCGUUAUCGUUCGUCAACGUAGGUUGCCACGAGUCUUGCUCCACAAAUCGAAGGAUUAGUUUAUCAAUAAGUACGAAGAAGGAUACGAUUGUGAUCUAUUGCGAUGGUGUAUCGUAUGCAGUUAUUCGCACGAGAGACAAUGCGUUGCGUGAGCGAGGCACGUUUUUAUGGAUCGUUGACGAGCAUAAACCGUGUAACGUUUCAUAACGAGGUGUUCGCGAAUCGACGAAUCUAGAUCGGCAUACAAAUGAGAGUUUAUUAUUAUUAUUAUAUUAAUCGAGAAUAUAAGAUGAUGAUACCAAGAACUUUACACGUUUCAGAUCGGAGACGCUAGAAGGUGAUAGAUCGAUAUCAAAGAAAUCGAUGGGAGUUACAAACAUGAAAGAACGAAGCUUCUUAUCCAGGAUGAUUUUAACAAAAUUACAGAAAGUACGUAUAAACUGUAUCGAGAUAAUCAAACGUAUAUACCAUGAAAUUCGUCCAAGAAGAGUGAUCGGCUUCCGGUGUGACAUAAGAAAAUGUGCGAGCACCCUUUCGGAAUGUAAUAUGAGAUCCUGUAGAAAGAAUAUCAUGAUAUUCGAGAUCAUCGAUCAUAGAAAAAUCGAUCCUACGAUAAUAUCACGGACUUAUAUGGACGAUCAUUGAACGAUUACAUUUAUGGCGAUGUACGUAUGAGCAUUCCGUUCUUUUUUUUCUUUUCUUACCCCCUCUCUCCCCCUUUUUUUUCUCUCACUUUUUUCUCUUCUGCAACUUUACCCUUCCUUUUUUCU